AGUGAACGCUGGCGGCAUGCCUUACACAUGCAAGUCGAACGGCAGCGGACCUUCGGGUGCCGGCGAGUGGCGAACGGGUGAGUAAUGCAUCGGAACGUGCCAUUGAGUGGGGGAUAACGUAGCGAAAGUUACGCUAAUACCGCAUAUUCUGUGAGCAGGAAAGCAGGGGACCGCAAGGCCUUGCGCUCUUUGAGCGGCCGAUGUCAGAUUAGCUAGUUGGUGAGGUAAAGGCUUACCAAGGCGACGAUCUGUAGCGGGUCUGAGAGGAUGAUCCGCCACACUGGAACUGAGACACGGUCCAGACUCCUACGGGAGGCAGCAGUGGGGAAUUUUGGACAAUGGGCGCAAGCCUGAUCCAGCCAUGCCGCGUGAGUGAAGAAGGCCUCGGUUGUAAG
rnacentral:rRNA from 1 species